UGUGCCCCUAGAAGAAGCAUUGUAAGUGUGGCUGCUGAGUCACAUGUAAGUCAGUCGGUAGCAGAGAGGAGAGAAGCUGUGGAUAUGUUCUGAUCUAUGAAGGUCUGAACGAUUAGUAAUCACCAA